GGGUCGCGAAUGGCUCGGUACAACAGCUACGGUUUACUAGAUUUAAACUCCACUUGGAUAACUGUGGUAAUUCUAGAGCUAAUACAUGCACCUAAGCUCGGACCUCACGGAAAGAGCGCACUUAUUAGAUCAAAACCAAUCGAGUUUCGGCUCGUGGUUUGAUGACUCUGGAUAACGUAGCAGAUCGCACAGUCUAGUACUGGCGACUUAUCUUUCAAAUGUCUGCCUUAUCAACUUUCGAUGGUAGGUUAUAUGCCUACCAUGGUUAUAACGGGUAACGGAGAAUUAGGGUUCGACUCCGGAGAGGGAGCCUGAGAAAUGGCUACCACAUCCAAGGAAGGCAGCAGGCGCGCAAAUUACCCAAUCCCAGUACGGGGAGGUAGUGACGAAAAAUAACGAGACAGUCCACUUUGUGGCCUGUCAUCGGAAUGGGUACAAUUUAAAUCCUUUAACGAGGAUCCAUUAGAGGGCAAGUCUGGUGCCAGCAGCCGCGGUAAUUCCAGCUCUAAUAGCGUAUAUUAAAGUUGUUGUGGUUAAAACGCCCGUAGUUGAUUUUGCGAUUUUGACGGUCGGUAGCCCGAGAGGGUUUCACUUGGCUGGUCUUGUCUGAAUUUGGGAUUUCUGUCGAUGCUCUUUACUGAGUGUCGUUAGCGACUCUAGAAAUUACUUUGAAAAAAUUAGAGUGCUAAAAGCAAGCUUUGUGCUUGAAUAGAGUGCAUGGGAUAAUGGAAGAGGAUUUUGAUUCUGUUUUGUUGGUUUUCGGAAUUGAAAUAAUGAUUAAGAGGAACUGACGGGGGCAUUCGUAUUGUUGCGUUAGA
rnacentral:rRNA from 1 species